rnacentral:rRNA from 1 species
CGUAGGGGGCAAGCGUUGUCCGGAUUUAUUGGGCGUAAAGAGCGUGUAGGCGGCCAGAUAGGUCAACUGUGAAAACUCGAGGCUCAACCUCGAGAUGUCGGCUGAAACCAUCUGGCUAGAGUCCGGAAGAGGAGAAUGGAAUUCCCGGUGUAGCGGUGAAAUGCGCAGAUAUCGGGAAGAACACCCGUGGCGAAGGCGGUUCUCUGGGACGGUACUGACGCUGAGACGCGAAAGCGUGGGGAGCGAACAGGAUUAGAUACCCUGGUAGUCCACGCCGUAAACGAUGGGAACUAGGUGUGGGCGGUGUCGACUCCGUCCGUGCCGAAGCUAACGCAUUAAGUUCCCCGCCUGGGGAGUACGGCCGCAAGGCUA